GCGCCUGUAGCUCAGUAAGGAUAGAGCAGCGGUUUCCUAAACCGUUGGUCGCUGGUUCGAGUCCGGCCAGGCGCG
rnacentral:tRNA from 1 species